AUGUACAUUCCUAUAACAUCAUGUUAAUGCACUGAAUCCCAUUAGAACUCGAUAGUUAAGUGCACUCGGGCUAGAGUAGUAUUGGGAUGGGUGAUCACCCGAUAAGUCAUAGUAUUUUACAUG
rnacentral:rRNA from 1 species